AGAAAAUAUAAGUUGUACAUGCACUGAGAAACAAAAGCUGAAAGAGAAAACUGUAAAGAGGAGAGAGGUCUAUAAGAGCCUCUUGAAAAGCCGUGUCAGUAAAAGAUUAUAUUCUAGAAAUGGAACUCUGAGGAAGAAGGCUGACAUUGGAAAACAUAAUCCCCAAAGUACGGUUACAUUUGAUACGUGUUCAGCUUCAUUUUGGGAACCACCUAAUGGUUUAAAGACCAGCACCAACUGCAUUGAAAACAUUUUUGAAAAACCACCAACUGAAGAAAUACAGGAAAAUAACACAACGGAUUUGAGAAUAACAGUAAAGGCAUCUCAUGCUAAUGAAAAAAUUGCAUCAGAGGAACACUUCAAUGUACAGGGAGAUGAAAGCUCAGAUCCUUUAUGCAUCAGUUUGGCAACAAAUAAUAUAUAGGAUACCCAGUAAUUACUGUCUCAUUUUAGAUGCUCCAAAUAUUAUAACAAAAGUGGUCUUCAGAUCAAGAGGAACUGUACUUGAGGAACAACUACUGGGGAGCCUAAUCUACACUUGGACCUGAUUUAGAUGAUGAGGUCUGAGACUAUUCUGAUGCCAUCAUGGAUUGAGACUUUGGAGGUCUUGCAGGGAAGGGGGUAGUGAAUUCUGCAUAUGGGAAUGACGUGAAUUGGGGCCAGAGGGCAUACUGUGUUAUACAUUAUUAUCCAAAGAUUGUCACAGUAAUAUUUAAGCUUUCAUCCACUGUGACUUUGCUAGUCCUGCUCAAGAAAGGGAGGGAGUAAAAUUACCCUUCUCUUGGAAGUGGGUAGGCUUAUGAGUGCUUUGACCAAAGCAUAGAGUAGAAGUCAUACCAUGUGAUCUUACAAGGCUAGUUCAAAAACAGUGAUGUAGCUUUCACCUUUUCUGGAACACUUGUACCUGGUGCCUUGGACCAUCAUGCAAGAAAUCCAGAUACCACAUCCAGGUUGUGAGGAAGCCCAAGCCACAUGGGGAGGCCAUGUGUAAGGAGUCCUGUCAACAGUUCCAGACCCCACGCAUUUGAGUUUUCCUUGCUGAAGCCAUGGGUAUUGAUUGUACAGAAACAAGCCAACUCCAUCAUGUUCAUCAUAUACAAAUUCAUAAACUACAGGGUCCAUAAACUUAAUAAAAUAGUUGUUUUAUACUAAGCCUUGAGGUAGUAAGUAGAACAGCUGGAAAACUUCUAAACCACUUAUAAAGAAUCAUUAGACAUUUUGGUGUAUAGUAAGAGUAAAAAGGCCUGGUAGAGUAAAGUAUGAGUUUCAGUGAAAAAGUAUGACAUGUUUUAUCUGCCUAAUGGCUUGCUUAUUCAUUUAUUUGGUUUGGGAUAUUAAAUUCUGUGGCUAUAUGCAUUCUAGAGAGUUGAUGUGCCACUAUGCAUU